CCGUGUACUAUUCAAUUCAAAGCAGAGGGGCUGAACAGCAAAAAAAACUCAUUGUGCUUCAAGGACAAAACAAAAGACAGUUGACUAAAAGAAUCUCUUUGGGUCUGGUUAGUCAGAGAGAUUUUGGGGAGAAUUUGUCUGAGACUUUGGUGGUCAAGUUUCCCGCCAGAAUUUGAAGGGACACAUCGAUCAGGUUUGACACACUGCUGAUUGCAACAUUAAAUCACUAUCAUGGGCUUGAUUUGUCUCAUCAGGUCAUGUGAAAAAAUUUUGAUGAGCAGACUUCUUUGAGAUUUCUGGAUACCUCUGAAAUAUCUGUUUGGGGAUAAAAUGAAAGAGAGAAAGAGAGAGAGCAGGGGAGAGGCAGAGA